rnacentral:rRNA from 1 species
CGGACCGGCGCACGGGUGAGUAACGCGUAUGCAACUUGCCUAUCAGGAGGGGGAUAACCCGGCGAAAGUCGGACUAAUACCGCAUGAAGCAGGGGCCCCGCAUGGGGAUAUUUGCUAAAGAUUCAUCGCUGAUAGAUAGGCAUGCGUUCCAUUAGGCAGUUGGCGGGGUAACGGCCCACCAAACCGACGAUGGAUAGGGGUUCUGAGAGGAAGGUCCCCCACAUUGGUACUGAGACACGGACCAAACUCCUACGGAAGGCAGCAG